rnacentral:lncRNA from 10 species
CUGCGUCAGUCGCGCUCAGUCCCUAGAUACAGGUGUGCCGGAGAAGCCCAGGGAAGGGAUGCGUGACCAUCACUACACCCUGCCCCACGACGCGGUGGGACGCGCACCCUGACCCUCCCCAGAGCCGCGCCCAGGACCUUGCCUGGGCGGAAAAUGGCAGCCGUUGCCGGGAAGGAGCGGCGAGCGAGAGGCAGGCCCCGGCCAGAGACACUGGGAGCCAUCCCUAGGAGGGAGGGAGGCGAGGCGGGCUUGAGCCGAGCCUUCAAGCCACUGGCGCAGGCGCCAUUGUCCUGUGAGACUUCGCUGAGAAAACUCAAAUUCAAAGGCAUGGCUCUGUGAGCGCUGAUGAGGCUGCCCGCACGGCUCCCUUCCACCUCGACCUCUGGUUCUACUUCACACUGCAGAACUGGGUUCUGGACUUUGGGCGUCCCAUUGCCAUGCUGGUAUUCCCUCUCGAGUGGUUUCCACUCAACAAGCCCAGUGUUGGGGACUACUUCCACAUGGCCUACAACGUCAUCACGCCCUUUCUCUUGCUCAAGAUCGACUCCUUUGAGCUGCUCUACUAUUAUGAUGAGUACCUGGGUCACUGCAUGUGGUACAUCCCCUUCUUCCUCAUCCUCUUCAUGUACUUCAGCGGCUGCUUUACUGCCUC